rnacentral:lncRNA from 1 species
GCUUCCCCAGGCUCCGCGCCCGCCUCGCUCCCCCCGCAUCCCGCUACCCGCGCCUCGCCGGCGGAGCGGCACCAACCUGCAGUCCCCGCCGCCGCCGCCUCCUCCUCCUCCUCUUCGGGAAGAGCCGGAGCUGCCUCUGCCCGCUUCAGCCUCCAACCCCCGGCGGCGGCGGGCUGGCUGGGCGCCGCUGCCCUCGGGAGGCGGGGAAGGGGCGAGCGGGGCGGGCGGCUGCGGGAGCGUUGCUCAUUGAGUGCGGCAGCCCCGGCUGUCGCUGCUGCCGCCGCCGCUCCCCGCAGCCGCUACUUCCUGUGCGGCGAUGGUUCAGUUCCUCCCGGGCCGCUGGGGGCAGGAGAGCCGGGGGGCGGAGGAGGAGGAGGAGGAGGAGGAGAGGGGGAAGGUCGGGUCAGAUAGCGGGGGCGGCAGCAGCCGCCGCGGCCGCCGCUCCUCCCGCCCGGCGCGACUCCGCCCCGCAGCGCCCGGCCGGGGCUCCGCGCUGCCCGCAACGCGGCGGGACGCGAUGCGAUGCGGAGGAGCCGCCCCCCGAGCCCGCACCGCGCCCAUCGCCCCACGCUCCGCUGCGCCGGGGGGAGAGCACCCAGCCCCGGGGAGAGCACCCAGCCCGGGGACGGGAGAGCAGCGGCUCCCCCGAGCCCCACCGCCCGCCCGUGCCGCUCACCGGAGACAUGGCUCUGGUCCCGCCGUUUGCGCCCGCCCGGCCGGCCGGCAGCGCAUCCCGCGGCACGCACGGAGGGAGGGAGGAUUUCAGUGUCAUUGUCACAUGUCUGAGGCUAAGAGGAGAAGAGAAAGGAGCCAGUGGACAUCUCUCCCUUCAAGAGGAGCAUGGCAGGUAUUUGUAAUUCACACAGCCUUAAAAAUCCCACAGCUGAUGUGUUGCUGCUUCAAAAUCUACAUUCACAAAAUGCAAGUUUGGAGAAAUGCCAGUUCCACCAUCAUGUUACAGCCUGGACUUGCCAGAGCUGGGAAUGGCAGAUUUGGUGUCAUCAGCAGUGCUUCAGCAAUCUACAGUUGGGAAGAAAUGUUUGGAUGUAUUUGUGUCACAAAAGAAAAGCAGCAAUUACUGAUAGGGAGCCUGGGGCACAUCCAAGUGCAUCAUCACAUGGAGCAGACAGUGUCCUCUCAAAUGGAAUAAAACAAAAACCAAACCAAAAACCCCACAGCAACCAUAUUUGAAAGAGCCAGUGCUUUUAAGAGUAACACACAGUGAUUAAAUGCCCAAGUAAAGGAAUCUGCUGGAAGGGAAAUGGACAAUUGGUGCUUCCCAAGUUUCCUAUGAAAGAUUAGGGCUGUAAAAGCCUGCUGUGAUUGUACUUUCUCCCAUGUAUACUGAGAAUGAAGAGGCUGUGAUAGCAAACUAAGAGUGAGACUGUAAGUCUGGAGUCUGGAUUAGAAUAUGCCCCUUAAUGCAAACAUUUUCUGGUCAGAAAUAGGAUAUCCAUUCAUCCAAGUGCAAGAACUGUGACUGACUUCAUAAUGAGACUUAUGCCUCUGUGAAAUCAUAUAUAUAUAAGUCAGUAUUUAGAGGAUUCAUGGGAGAAACGCCAUUGUAAAUGAGAGAAUGAAUUUGAGGAACUACCAAACAUCCUUGUUAAGACAGAAAAAAAAAUUACUUUUAGUUAACUUGUUUGGAAAAUGUUUUCUAUGGAUGAAUCUGUUGGUAAAAACAUAGCUGACAUUUCAGAGCUCAAAGCAAGCAAACACAAAGCAACAGAGAGGCAAUAGAUUUUGAGCAGAGCAGCAUCAUGGCAAAGAGCUGACUUCUCUAGUAACACCCUGUGAAUCACUGUGGGGGAAAGGACAGGCAGGAGAGAACAGCAGGCCAGCUGAAACCAUCCCAGGAAAUCUCUGUGCAGCACAAACUGAAUCAAAUCAAAAGCAUGAGUGGAUCUGUGCAGACCUUCCAGAAGUGCAUUAGCACUCCAGAAGGGAAGUGGUGGAUUUCACAUGGCAUUUGAUGUCUGCCAGGAGAUACCAACAGAGGCACUGCAAGAAGGAAAGGAAAUUCCUCUCCUGCAAGACACAUGGUCUGAGAAGAGAGACCUUUGUUGAAUAGCCUUAUUUACAAUCCAGGAUUCAUCAAAUUAUCUCAUUAUUGAGA